GGCUUCGUAACUCAACUGGGAGAACAUUUGCCGCGUUAGGGCAUGUUAUUUCUGUCGCUGGUUCGAAUCCAGCCGAAGUCC
rnacentral:tRNA from 1 species